UACAGAGGGUGCAAGCGUUAAUCGGAUUUACUGGGCGUAAAGCGUGAGUAGGUGGCUCGCUAAGUCGAUUGUGAAAGCCCUGGGCUCAACCUGGGAAUUGCAGUCGAUACUGGUGAGCUAGAGUUCGGUAGAGGGUGACGGAAUUCCCGGUGUAGCGGUGAAAUGCGUAGAUAUCGGGAGGAACAUCGAUGGCGAAGGCAGCUCUCUGGGACGGUACUGACGCUGAGACGCGAAAGCGUGGGGAGCGAACAGG
rnacentral:rRNA from 1 species